rnacentral:rRNA from 1 species
UGGGAAUAUUGGACAAUGGGCGAAAGCCUGAUCCAGCCAUGCCGCGUGUGUGAAGAAGGUCUUCGGAUUGUAAAGCACUUUAAGUUGGGAGGAAGGGCAGUUACCUAAUACGUGAUUGUCUUGACGUUACCGACAGAAUAAGCACCGGCUAACUCUGUGCCAGCAGCCGCGGUAAUACAGAGGGUGCAAGCGUUAAAUCGGAAUUACUGGGCGUAAAGCGCGCGUAGGUGGUUUGUUAAGUUGGAUGUGAAAUCCCCGGGCUCAACCUGGGAACUGCAUUCAAAAACUGUCAAGCUAGAGUAUGGUAGAGGGUGGUGGAAUUUCCUGUGUAGCGGUGAAAAUGCGUAGAUAUAGGAAGGAACACCAGUGGCGAAGGCGACCACCUGGACUGAUACUGACACUGAGGUGCGGAAAGCGUGGGGAGCAAAACAGGAUUAGAUACCCUGGUAGUCCACGCCGUAAAAACGAUGUCAAACUAGCCGUUGGGAGCCUUGAGCUCUUAGUGGCGCAGCUAAACGCAUUAAAGUUGACCGCCUGGGGAGUACGGCCGCAAAGGUUAAAAACUCAAAAGGAAAUUGACGGGGUCAUAGCUGUUUCCUG